UCCUCGAUCUGCUGGGGGCAGAUGAAGUGGAUGUGGGCGUCGAUGGCGCCGGCGGUCAGGAUCUUGCCCUCGCCGGCGAUGAUCUCGGUGCCGGGGCCUAUCACGAUGUCGACGCCGGGCUGGAUGUCGGGGUUGCCCGCCUUGCCGAUGGCGGCGAUGCGGCCGUCGCGCAGCGCCACGUCGGCCUUCACGAUCCCCCAGUGGUCGACGAUCAGGGCGUUGGUGAUCACCGUGUCGGCCGCGCCGGCCGCGCGCGUGGCCUGCGACUGGCCCAUGCCGUCGCGGA
rnacentral:sRNA from 1 species